rnacentral:tRNA from 1 species
AACCCUGUGGUAUAUUGGUUAAGUACUAUGGCUGCUAACCAAACGUUGGCAGUUCAAAUCUGCCAGGGGCUC